CGUGAGGGAAAGGCGAAAAGAACCCCGGCGAGGGGAGUGAAAAAGAACCUGAAACCGUGUACGUACAAGCAGUGGGAGCACAGGUUUACCUGUGUGACUGCGUACCUUUUGUAUAAUGGGUCAGCGACUUAUAUUCUGUAGCAAGGUUAACCGAAUAGGGGAGCCGGAGGGAAACCGAGUCUUAAUUGGGCGUUAAGUUGCAGGGUAUAGACCCGAAACCCGGUGAUCUAGCCAUGGGCAGGUUGAAGGUUGGGUAACACUAACUGGAGGACCGAACCGACUAAUGUUGAAAAAUUAGCGGAUGACCUGUGGCUGGGGGUGAAAGGCCAAUCAAACCGGGAGAUAGCUGGUUCUCCCCGAAAGCUAUUUAGGUAGCGCCUCGUGAAUUCAUCUCCGGGGGUAGAGCACUGUUUCGGCUAGGGGGCCAUCCCGGCUUACCAACCCGAUGCAAACUGCGAAUACCGGAGAAUGUUAUCACGGGAGACACACGGCGGGUGCUAACGUCCGUCGUGAAGAGGGAAACAACCCAGACCGCCAGCUAAGGUCCCAAAGUCAUGGUUAAGUGGGAAACGAUGUGGGAAGGCCCAGACAGCCAGGAUGUUGGCUUAGAAGCAGCCAUCAUUUAAAGAAAGCGUAAUAGCUCACUGGUCGAGUCGGCCUGCGCGGAAGAUGUAACGGGGCUAAACCAUGCACCGAAGCUGCGGCAGCGAACGUAUCACUUAAAGCGAUUCAGCG
rnacentral:rRNA from 1 species